CUACGUGCCAGCAGCCGCGGUAAUACGUAGGUGGCAAGCGUUGUCCGGAAUUAUUGGGCGUAAAGCGCGCGCAGGCGGAUCAGUCAGUCUGUCUUAAAAGUUCGGGGCUUAACCCCGUGAUGGGAUGGAAACUGCUGAUCUAGAGUAUCGGAGAGGAAAGUGGAAUUCCUAGUGUAGCGGUGAAAUGCGUAGAUAUUAGGAAGAACACCAGUGGCGAAGGCGACUUUCUGGACGAAAACUGACGCUGAGGCGCGAAAGCCAGGGGAGCGAACGGGAUUAGAUACCCCGGUAGUCCUGGCCGUAAACGAUGGGUACUAGGUGUAGGAGGUAUCGACCCCUUCUGUGCCGGAGUUAACGCAAUAAGUACCCCGCCUGGGGAGUACGACCGCAAGGUUGAAACUCAAAGGAAUUGACGGGGGCCCGCACAAGCGGUGGAGUAUGUGGUUUAAUUCGACGCAACGCGAAGAACCUUACCAGGUCUUGACAU
rnacentral:rRNA from 1 species